UGGGGAAUAUUGGGCAAUGGGCGCAAGCCUGACCCAGCAACGCCGCGUGAAGGAAGAAGGCUUUCGGGUUGUAAACUUCUUUUCUCAGGGACGAAGCAAGUGACGGUACCUGAGGAAUAAGCCACGGCUAACUACGUGCCAGCAGCCGCGGUAAUACGUAGGUGGCAAGCGUUAUCCGGAUUUACUGGGUGUAAAGGGCGUGUAGGCGGGACUGCAAGUCAGAUGUGAAAACCAUGGGCUCAACCUGUGGCCUGCAUUUGAAACUGUAGUUCUUGAGUACUGGAGAGGCAGACGGAAUUCCUAGUGUAGCGGUGAAAUGCGUAGAUAUUAGGAGGAACACCAGUGGCGAAGGCGGUCUGCUGGACAGCAACUGACGCUGAGGCGCGAAAGCGUGGGGAGCAAACAGGAUUAGUACCC
rnacentral:rRNA from 1 species